UAAGACGGAGGGCGCAAGCGUUGUUCGGAAUUACUGGGCGUAAAGGGCAGGUAGGUGGUCUGUUAAGUCUUCUGUGAAAAUCCGGGGCUCAACCCCGCGAAAUGCAGGUGAAACUGGCAGACUGGAGACCGGUAGAGGCUAGCGGAAUUCCUGGUGUAGCGGUGGAAUGCGUAGAUAUCAGGAAGAACACCUGUGGCGAAGGCGGCUAGCUGGGCCGGUUCUGACACUAAACUGCGAAAGCGUGGGGAGCAAACAGGAUUAGAUACCCUGGUAGUCCACGCCGUAAACGAUGGGCACUAGAUGCUGGGCAUAUAGACGUGUUCAGUGUCGUCGCUAACGCAUUAAGUGCCCCGCCUGGGGAGUACGGUCGCAAGGCUG
rnacentral:rRNA from 1 species